rnacentral:rRNA from 1 species
GUGGGGAAUAUUGGGCAAUGGGCGCAAGCCUGACCCAGCAACGCCGCGUGAGGGAAGAAGGCUUUCGGGUUGUAAACCUCUGUCCUUGGUGACGAAACAAAUGACGGUAGCCAAGGAGGAAGCCCCGGCUAACUACGUGCCAGCAGCCGCGGUAAUACGUAGGGGGCGAGCGUUGUCCGGAAUUACUGGGCGUAAAGGAUGCGUAGGUGGCCUUUUAAGUUGGAUGUGAAAUACCCGGGCUUAACUUGGGGGGUGCAUCCAAAACUGGAAGGCUAGAGUGCAGGAGAGGAAAGCGGAAUUCCUAGUGUAGCGGUGAAAUGCGUAGAUAUUAGGAGGAACACCAGUGGCGAAGGCGGCUUUCUGGACUGUAACUGACACUGAGGCACGAAAGCGUGGGGAGCAAACAGGAUUAGAUACCCCUGUAGUCC